rnacentral:rRNA from 1 species
CGCAUCUGUGCAUGCAGCAUAUCAAUAAGCGGAGGAAAAGUCAAUACCUACGCUUAGGAUGUUGACGCGCGUGUGUGCGUGAGUCUAUACAUGACUCUGUGCAUAUCAAUAAGCGGAGGAAAAGAAACUAACAAGGAUUCCCCUAGUAACGGCGAGUGAAGCGGGAAGAGCUCAAAUUUGAAAUCUUAAAGGGUUUCCCUUUACGAAUUGUAGUUUAAAGAAGUGUUUUCUGUUGAGGCUUUUGGUAAAAGUUCUUUGGAAUAGGACAUCAUAGAGGGUGAGAAUCCCGUAUUUGACCUUUACUUUCAACUUUGCGAUACACUUUCAAAGAGUCGGAUUGUUUGGGAAUGCAGUCCAAAAUGGGUGGUAAAUUUCAUCUAAAGCUAAAUAUUGGCGAGAGACCGAUAGCGAACAAGUACCGUGAGGGAAAGAUGAAAAGAACUUUGAAAAGAGAGUUAAACAGUACGUGAGAUUGUCAAAAGGGAAGCGUUUGACACCAGUGUUGUUUUUCUGAAAAUCAAUUAAAGAACUGUUUAUGCUAAGUUGUUUAGACUUUAUCAGCUAACUGUUUAGUUUUGAGCUUUUCUUUAAUGCACUUUUCAGUUAACAAGUCAACAUCAAUUUCUUUUGCUGUAAAAAAGCUUGAGGAAGGUGGCUUGAGAUUCGUCUUAAGUGUUUAUAGCCUCUUGCCUAUGCAGUCGGAGAGAUUGAGGUCUGCAGCGUAGAUCCUUCGGGGCUAAAUGCAUUUGUGCUAAGUUAUAGCAUUUUAUAGACAACUUGUUGACUAUGAUUUGUCUUGUAGCUUACUCGCUUAUGUUAUUUUACCUACGCUUAGGAUGUUGAAUCUGUGCGAGACUAC